rnacentral:rRNA from 1 species
GGGGAAUUUUCCGCAAUGGGCGAAAGCCUGACGGAGCAAUACCGCGUGAGGGAGGAAGGCUCUUGGGUCGUAAACCUCUUUUCUCAGGGAAGAACACAAUGACGGUACCUGAGGAAUAAGCAUCGGCUAACUCCGUGCCAGCAGCCGCGGUAAUACGGAGGAGGCAAGCGUUAUCCGGAAUGAUUGGGCGUAAAACGUCCGUAGGUGGCAGUUCAAGUCUGCUGUCAAAGACAGUAGCUCAACUACUGAAAGGCAGUGGAAACUGAACAGCUAGAGUACGGUAGGGGCAGAGGGAAUUCCCGGUGUAGCGGUGAAAUGCGUAGAUAUCGGGAAGAACACCGGUGGCGAAAGCGCUCUGCUGGGCCGUAACUGACACUGAGGGACGAAAGCUAGGGGAGCGAAAGGGAUUAGAUACCCCAGUAGUC